GUACUGAUGAAAAGUUCCAAACUAGGACGAAACGGCUGUCCAGUAC
rfam:Trichobilharzia regenti genome assembly, scaffold: TRE_scaffold0002342